rnacentral:rRNA from 1 species
AGUGAACGCUGGCGGUAGGCCUAACACAUGCAAGUCGAACGGCAGCACAGUAAGAGCUUGCUCUUACGGGUGGCGAGUGGCGGACGGGUGAGGAAUACAUCGGAAUCUACUUUUUCGUGGGGGAUAACGUAGGGAAACUUACGCUAAUACCGCAUACGACCUACGGGUGAAAGCAGGGGAUCUUCGGACCUUGCGCGAUUGAAUGAGCCGAUGUCGGAUUAGCUAGUUGGCGGGGUAAAGGCCCACCAAGGCGACGAUCCGUAGCUGGUCUGAGGGGAUGAUCAGCCAGACUGGAAGUGAGACACGGUCCAGACUCCUACGGGAGGCAGCAGUGGGGAAUAUUGGACAAUGGGCGCAAGCCUGAUCCAGCCAUACCGCGUGGGUGAAGAAGGCCUUCGGGUUGUAAAGCCCUUUUGUUGGGAAAGAAAAGCAGCAGGUUAAUACCCCGCUGUUCUGACGGUACCCAAAGAAUAAGCACCGGCUAACUUCGUG